ACCCUCUCAUGGUCACAACUGGAGAGAUUUCAGUACUCUACCAGUUUUGACUACAGGAGGGAGAAUCAAGCAGAGGCAUGCCCAUUCCAUUCCUAGCUUGGCCAGUGGCUAAGAAGUGGAAGGCAAUCUGCUACAAGU